rnacentral:lncRNA from 1 species
ACCCACCCAACACAGACAGCCCUGGGCUUUCCGCUGGAGAGGAGAAGAGGUUGCUCAUACCAUGCUAUGCUUUUGAGUGGAGGACAAGGAGCCUGUGGCUGACCUGCAGGGUAACUGCAAUAAAAAAGGAAGAAGAAAGGAAGAUGUAUCACUGGGGGAUGGAACUCAGCUUCAAAGAGCACAUCUAAAAUGAAGAAUGAGAUACCGUGUGUACCCCAGAUAAGGCAAUGGAAUGGAAACCAUCCGUAAGAGGAGCUAUAGAUUGAGGUCUGAAAAGGAAAAGUUCCCAGGGUGAAUGAGCAGGACACACGAUGGGAAUCAACUCCUGUUGCUGGCAUUUGGGAAUGCUGCAGCUUAUUUCACUGCUAGGCCAGGGAGUGCAUGACGUUGUGUAAUGAGAAAGAGCAGCAGUCGUGACAGCAGUAUCACUGCUUGUGAUGGAGUAUAAAUCAGGGCAGUUUACUCUGUCAUUCCAUUCAGGACAUCAUAAAAGUAACACCUGUCAUCUGGAAAAAAUCUGAACUCAGAGAAUAAUAUAAUGCAUUUUGCAUGAAUGAAUA